rnacentral:rRNA from 1 species
UACGGAGGAUGCGAGCGUUAUCCGGAUUUAUUGGGUUUAAAGGGUGCGUAGGCGGGAUGCCAAGUCAGCGGUAAAAAUGCGGUGCUCAACGCCGUCGAGCCGUUGAAACUGGCGUACUUGAGUGGGCGAGAAGUAUGCGGAAUGCGUGGUGUAGCGGUGAAAUGCAUAGAUAUCACGCAGAACUCCGAUUGCGAAGGCAGCAUACCGGCGCCCUACUGACGCUGAGGCACGAAAGCGUGGGUAUCGAACAGG